AAGGAUUUAGGAUAAUAUUAAACCAAGGACCUUCAAAGCCCUAAACAGGAGUCAAAUCUCUUAAUCCUUG
rnacentral:tRNA from 2 species